rnacentral:rRNA from 1 species
AGAGUUUGAUCCUGGCUCAGGAUGAACGCUGGCGGCGUGCCUAAUACAUGCAAGUCGUGCGGUAACGAGAGGAGCUUGCUCCUUGUCGACGAGCGGCGGACGGCUGAGUAACGCGUAGGAACCUACCCCAAACUGAGGGAUAAGCAUCAGAAAUGGUGUCUAAUACCGCAUGUGCUCUUCGGAGUAAAGCUUUUGCGGUU